GUGCCUAACACAUGCAAGUCGAGCGAGAAAGUGGAGCAAUCCAUGAGUACAGCGGCGCACGGGUGAGUAACACGUGACUAACCUACCCUCGAGUGGGGAAUAACUUCGGGAAACCGAGGCUAAUACCGCAUAAUACCCACGGGUCAAAGGAGUAAUCCGCUUGAGGAGGGGGUCGCGGCCGAUUAGUUAGUUGGCGGGGUAAUGGCCCACCAAGACGAUGAUCGGUAUCCGGCCUGAGAGGGCGCACGGACACACUGGAACUGACACACGGUCCAG
rnacentral:rRNA from 1 species